UCAUCUUUCAGGUUUGCUGGCUUUCAAAGUGAAAUCUCUCUGUCUUGCCCCAACAGCUCGUCUCUCAAUGUAUUAGCCAGUUGUGGAGCAAAUAGUAUGGUGUAGAAUUAAUACAGAGCUUAUUUUGCCCAAGGAACUGAUUGAAGUGAUUGGUGAGGAUUAAAAUCCACCUAAACAAAUCUGAGGAUAAAAGAAUUUUACCUGAAUCCUGUUUCAUUGGAUGCCUAGUAAAACAUUUGAAACAGCAUCAAGGUAUAUACCGCAUCUUCAACACAAUGGAGCCUCUGUUCUUCCUGCCCUACUUCGAGCUAGUCACUGUUAUUGGGAGCCCAUUUCUGCAGCCAGAGUUCAACUUUUCAGAGGACGUGUGUGUGUCACCCAUGGUAUGUCAGCUUGUUGACAAAGGACACAGGAAAUAAAUACUUGUGAGGUCCCUUUAGAGAGCCUCCAUUAACCAGGUUCUUGCCUCAAGAUGAAAGCAAAAUCCAUCAGUGCUUGCUGCGUCAUCUGGAAGAGGUUGAAAAACCCUGCCUCUGAUGGUUUACUCAUGGUGACAAAAAUGGGAUUAAUUAAAUGUCCCUGGUCCUUGGCUCCUGCCUCCCUCUCCAGCCCAGUUUCCCUCCGGGACAUCGCUUCCAUCAUUUACCCCAGGCUACAAGAUAGAGAUUGCCAUUCAGCUUCUCCACUCUAUUUUUCUUUAUCCCACCAUUGUCUCAAAUUUUCUUUACUUCUCACAUUCUUUCCUGCUUUAAGACACUUCUUUGUCCAUAACCUUAUACUUUUAUGAUUGACAGAUAAAGAUAAUUGAUUUUUCAUGAUUUAUAGUGCAGUGAUUUUCACUGCAACUGAGAAACUGGUUUGUGACCAGUUCGUCAGAACACUUCAUUUGGAUUGGAAGAAUUCUUAUGGGGAGAGAUUGGCAUAAUAUUCUAGCAGAGAAGCCCACUCCAAAAUGUACGGUUAAUGACUCUUGCAGUAGAAUUAGUUUAUGUAAGUUUAUUUUCUCUAAAUCAAUACCUGACCAUGACCAUUUCAACAGAUGGUACGAAUAAAAUGCCUCAGUCAUAAAAACCUCCUCUCAAAAACAAAAAAGGCGAAAGACCACAAAUUUUUUCCUUGAUUGCUUACACAAAUGUUACUCAAAACAAACAAAAGAAGGAAUAUAUCUUAAUCAGUCUCUACUUUAGCCCUGUACAAUGAUUACUGAACACUGGUAAAUUCUGUAUACACCAGAAGCAUGAGAUUAUCUCCCUGCUUUCACACAAGCUGAUCUUUCUCCAAUCAUAGGGGACAGUAUUCAGAUUACUUGAUGAUAUUUCAGGCCACUCUGCCUUCAACACACGGUGACUUCUGCCUAAAGUGUCCUCCUUUUCUUCAUCUUAUUAGAUUCAACUCAUCUUUCAAGAUAUGGGUAUGAUAGCACCUCCUUAAGAAAGCGUUCUCUGUCUAUCCUCGAUCAUUACUGUGCCCCACUCUGAGCUCAGAUAGCAUUCUGCAUGAGUAUUUAUCAUAGGAAUAGUGUGCUGUUAUAAUUUUGAUUUAUUGCUUCUCUUUUGGAUCACAGGCUAUUUUCAGGAGAAGAGCAUACCUUUUUCAGCUUUGUAUGCCUAAUACUUAGCAAAGAGUCUUUCAUAGCAGGGGUGCUAAUACUAAUUUGUUGAAUGAAUGAACUUGCUAAUGCCUUUGACUUAUACCAUUUUAGACACUUGUUGGCCGAAGAAGUCAAUCAAUAUAAUGAGAUGGAGUUCAUGGUGUUUUUAUCUAAAAUAAAUCUGAUCUCAGAAGUCCACUUAUAUUACACUUUUCAAAAUGAAAAUCAUGAAAUUAAUUUCUCUGGUUCUCAUUUACAAAUUUUAUAUUGAAUAAUCAGAUCAUACUGUUUAGUUAAGGGAAACCUUAGUUCCUAGACUUAUGCUUUAAUAAAAUUAUUUCUUUGGUUAGUUUUAAUAUUUUAAAACCUCAUAUUCUCACCAGUUAUUCAGCAAAUAUUUAUUGAUAACUCAUUAUGGGUCAGACCCUCCCAGUUUCAGGCACUAAAGACUGAGCAGAAAACGAAGUCCCUCUCUCAUGGAAUUUACAUUUAAAGGGAGGUAAACAGGUAUUAAACCAAACAAAUACAUAUACAGAGAGACUU